rnacentral:rRNA from 1 species
UGGGGAAUAUUGGACAAUGGGCGAAAGCCUGAUCCAGCCAUGCCGCGUGUGUGAAGAAGGUCUUCGGAUUGUAAAGCACUUUAAGAUGGGAGGAAGGGCAGUAAGCGAAUACCUUGCUGUUUUGACGUUACCGACAGAAUAAGCACCGGCUAACUCUGUGCCAGCAGCCGCGGUAAUACAGAGGGUGCAAGCGUUAAUCGGAAUUACUGGGCGUAAAGCGCGCGUAUGUGGUUCGUUAAGUUGAAUGUGAAAGCCCCGGGCUCAACCUGGGAACUGCAUCCAAAACUGGCGAGCUAGAGUAGGGCAGAGGGUGGUGGAAUUUCCUGUGUAGCGGUGAAAUGCGUAGAUAUAGGAAGGAACACCAGUGGCGACGGCGACCACCUGGGCUCAUACUGACACUGAGGUGCGAAAGCGUGGAGAGCAAACAGG